ensembl:misc_RNA Metazoa_SRP Metazoan signal recognition particle RNA
GCCGGGCGUGGUGGCGCGCGCCUGUAAUCCCAGCUACUCGGGAGGCUGAGGCAGGAGAAUCGCUUGAACCCGGGAGGUGGAGGUUACAGUGAGCCAAGAUUGCACCACUGCACUCCAGCCUGGGCAACAUAGCGAGACUCUGUCUCAA